ACGCUCACUUAAGCAGCACAUAUACUAGCACUGGACCUAUACAGAAAAGAUUGACAUGGCCCCUGGGCAAGAAUGACAAGCAAAUUCAUGAAGCAUUCUUUUUUUGA
ensembl:snRNA U6 U6 spliceosomal RNA